rnacentral:rRNA from 1 species
AUGGACUCCAGGGUGUCCAAGAGCCCACCUUCGUCUCCGCCCCCGGCGGCGGCGCAAGAAGACGAGGGGGACGCGGCGGCGGCGGUGCGGGUGACGAGCCGGCUGUACCUGCACAGGCCCGGGCCCGGCGCGGGGCCGCUGGAGAAGGACGCCGUGCUCCGCCGCAUCCGCCACCGGAGGCGCGCCAACCGCCUCCGGGACACGCUGCGCUCCCUCCUCGUCCUGCAGCAACAGCAGCCCACCGCGCCGGAGCCGGAGGACGCGUUCACGUCUCCGUAG